GCUGGGCAUGAUGGCUCAUGCCUGUAAUCCAAGCACUUUGGGAGGCUGAGGCGGGUGGAUCACCUGAGGUCAGGAGUUCAAGGCCGGCCUGACCAACAUGGUGAAACCCCAUCUCUA
rnacentral:sRNA from 13 species